rnacentral:rRNA from 1 species
AUUGAACGCUGGCGGCAGGCCUAACACAUGCAAGUCGAGCGAGCGGCGGACGGGUGAGUAAUGUCUGGGAAACCGCCUGAUGGAGGGGGAUAACGACUGGAAACGGUAGCUAAUACCGCAUACCAUCAGAUGUGCCCAGAUGGGAUUAGCUGGUAGGUGGGGUAACGGCUCACCUAGGGGGCGAUCCCUAGCUGGUCUGAGAGGAUGACCAGCCACAUGGGAACGUGGACACGGACCAGACUCCGACGGUAGGCAGCAGGGGGGAAUAUUGCACAAUGGGCGCAAGCCUGAUGCAGCCAUGCCGCGUGUGUGAAGAAGGCCUUCGGGUUGUAAAGCACUUUCAGCGGUGAGGCGUUACCCGCAGAAGAAGCACCGGCUAACUCCGUGCCAGCAGCCGCGGUAAUUC